GAUGAACGCUGGCGGCGUGCCUAAUACAUGCAAGUCGAGCGAACAGACGAGGAGCUUGCUCCUCUGACGUUAGCGGCGGACGGGUGAGUAACACGUGGAUAACCUACCUAUAAGACUGGGAUAACUUCGGGAAACCGGAGCUAAUACCGGAUAAUAUAUUGAACCGCAUGGUUCAAUAGUGAAAGACGGUUUUGCUGUCACUUAUAGAUGGAUCCGCGCCGCAUUAGCUAGUUGGUAAGGUAACGGCUUACCAAGGCAACGAUGCGUAGCCGACCUGAGAGGGUGAUCGGCCACACUGGAACUGAGACACGGUCCGGACUCCUACGGGAGGCAGCAGUAGGGAAUCUUCCGCAAUGGACGAAAGCCUGACGGAGCAACGCCGCGUGAGUGAUGAAGGUCUUCGGAUCGUAAAACUCUGUUAUUAGGGAAGAACAAAUGUGUAAGUAACUAUGCACGUCUUGACGGUACCCAAUCAGAAAGCCACGGCUAACUACGUG
rnacentral:rRNA from 1 species